CAGUCGCCACGGGAAUACGUAGGUGGCAAGCGUUGUCCGGAAUUAUUGGGCGUAAAGGGCUCGCAGGCGGUUUCUUAAGUCUGAUGUGAAAGCCCCCGGCUCAACCGGGGAGGGUCAUUGGAAACUGGGAAACUUGAGUGCAGAAGAGGAGAGUGGAAUUCCACGUGUAGCGGUGAAAUGCGUAGAGACGUGGAGGAACACCAGUGGCGAAGGCGACUCUCUGGUCUGUAACUGACGCUGAGGAGCGAAAGCGUGGGGAGCGAACAGGAUUAGAUACCCCGGUAGUCCCUGUCUCUUAUAC
rnacentral:rRNA from 1 species